CACGUAGGAUCCGAGCGUUAUCCGAAUUUACUGGGCGUAAAGCGCGUGCAGGCGGUCGGGUAAGUUGGGCGUGAAAUCUCCUGGCUCAACUGGGAGGGGUCGUCCAAAACUACUCGACUAGAGGGCGGUAGAGGGAGGUGGAAUUCCCGGUGUAGUGGUGAAAUGCGUAGAUAUCGGGAGGAACACCAGUGGCGAAAGCGGCCUCCUGGGCCGCACCUGACGCUCAGACGCGAAAGCUAGGGGAGCGAACGGG
rnacentral:rRNA from 1 species